CAUAUCAUCAGGUGUGAGGUUUACAGCAGUUCCAUGGUAGCUUUUGAGAACCACUCUCCUUGGUACUAUAGUCUGAGAUAAAUCCUCCAGUGGCUUCCCCUGUCUUUGCUGCCUCAUUUUUUUCAACAGUUGGGAUUGAUUCUACCUUGAUGAGAGAAACAUGUGUCGUUACCUGGCCAAAGGAAAACAGACUCCAAGAAAUGUUUUCCUACAGUUUUUCGUAUUUCUGGUCACUGUUAUGCUGCAGUAAAACCAUAGCCCAUUAUCCGUGAUGUACAAUAUUAAAG